GCCUGUGAUGGGCUAUUCCAGGGAUGUGU
rnacentral:piRNA from 1 species